rnacentral:rRNA from 1 species
CUGAUUUGCUUAAUUGCACCACAUGUGUUUUUUUAUUAAUUAAAAAAUUUGCUUUGGCGGCAGGAGAUAAAAAUUCUACCGCCAGAGGUUAUAACUAAACCAAACUUUUUAUUUUACAGUCAAACUUGAUUUAUUAUUACAAAAUAGUCAAAACUUUCAACAACGGAUCUCUUGGUUCUCGCAUCGAUGAAGAACGCAGCGAAAUGCGAUACGUAAUAUGAAUUGCAGAUAUUCGUGAAUCAUCGAAUCUUUGAACGCACAUUGCGCCCUUUGGUAUUCCAAAGGGCAUGCCUGUUUGAGCGUCAUUUCUCCCUCAAACCCUUGGGUUUGGUGUUGAGCAAUACGCUAGGUUUGUUUGAAAGAUGUAACGUGGAAACUUUCUUAAGCGACUUAGGUUUAUCCAAAAACGCUUUGUUUAUAGUGGCCACCACAACUUUUUUAAACUUUUGACCUCAAAUCAGGUAGGA